GUAAAUGGUACCUAUUUUACAGGUUGUGCUUUCUCUGGUGCUGCAGAUGGUAAGGAAUCUGCCUGCAAUGUGAGAGACCUGGAUUCGGUUCCUGGGUCAGGAAGAUCCCCUGGAGGAGGAAAUAGCAACCCACUCCAGUGUUCUUGCCUGGAGAAUUCCACAGACAGAGGAGCCUGGGGUCACAAAGGAAGCCCCUGGUCAGAAAGGUGGACUUCUCAUUUCCUUCAACAGUUCCCAUGCAACACAGAGUUUAUUUUCCCAUCAUCAGAGGGCUCAGCGCAGAGCUCCCAAUGCGGGUGGAUGAGGCAGGAAGAAGCUGGAGAUAGAGGACUUCUCUGCUAGUCCAGUGCUAAGAUUCCAUGCUCCCAAUGCAGGGGGCCCAAGUUUGAUCCCUGGUCAGGGAACCAGAUCCCACAUACCGCAACUAAGAGUUCGCAUGCUGCAACUGAAGACCCCGCAACCAACAGGGACCUACUGCACAGCACAGGGAACUCUGCACAAUAUUAUGUGGCGACCUGGAUGGGAGCAGAGUUUGAAGGAGAAUGGAUACAUGUAUAUGUAUGCCUGAGUCCUUUCACUGUCCACCUGAAACCAUCACAGCACUGUUAAUCGGCUC
ensembl:lncRNA